AUAUACUGCGAUUUAUUUUUCGACUACAUUUGGUAUAUCAUGCAAAUGAUUUACAAAAUUUUUGUGUUUUGGCCUUACACCUUUUACUGUCCACGCCUGCUGCAUUCCCAUGGCAGCGGCAGCAGCCUACUUGCCUGUGUGCCAGGGGCGGCGGCCUGCUGCACGCCCACGCCCACGACAGUGGCAGCAGCCUGCCUGCCAGCCAGGGGCGGCGGCGGGCCAACCAGCCAAGGCAGGGCGGUAGUGGUGGUGCUAGUCAGGGGCGGCAGUGGUUGCCCGGCGAUGGCGGUGGCGGCGACUGCCGUGAAAGCUAGGCUUCUAAAUCCAUGCACAAGUGAGGAAGGGUAAAAAAGUCAUUUCAGUCUCCCAAAUAUAUGAAAAGAAAAAAAGAAAAGAGGAAAAUACCUCAAAUGGCAAUAUAAUCAAGUGCUUAAUGUUUGGAGUCCCAUUUUUAUGAAAACGAUGUUUGGAAUGGCAAAUUUGCGAAGCGUAUUGUUUCGAGUCCUAUUUUUAUAAUUUUCUUGUUUUUUAGCAGAUAAAACUUGUUUUGUUAAAUAAAACCAUAUUAUCGUAGUAGAAUAGGUAGUGGUUACAUAACAAUGCUUCCUUCCAACGGUAGCAAUGCAACCCGCUGACCCUGGCACAAUCUUGGACUGGCCCAAUUGUGGAGUUCAAUGCGGACUUCUUGAAACUGAUGGGCCAAAUGGCAAAUUGAUGGGUUCUACUUCUGGCUUCUUCCUUUCGCCACAUCUGGCCCAAACGUUGGGGUCUCAUCUUCUUCAUCUCAGGCUGUCUCCAACAAGGGUUGCCAUUUGGGGUUGGCAAAUGCACCGUAGGCAAACUGGCAACCGUAGGCAUUUCUACCGUGUCUCCAACAAGGUUGGCAAAAGCGGGGUCCCAAAGGAGGAGUCGUUGGCUCCCGCCGCCGCCGGGAAGCCAGUGGCCAUCGUCGCGCUCGUCCCAGAUCCGGCAACCCAAGGGUGGUACCGGCGGCAAACAGGAGGCGGCCCUGCAGGGUCGUACGCCGGUGACAUACGGUCUUCUGGCGGCCUGAUGCUGAGGACGCCGUGAAAUUGCAAGGGCCUGGACCUCCGUGGUGCUGUGUUGUCAUGGCUUGGAGGUACAUAAAAAUGGCGAUGUGCGGAACGGUUGCAGCAAGACGUCGAAAAGAGGAAGACUUGCAUGCCACUACCAUUGUAGCAUGCAUGGAUUUUGGUAGUAAACGGCGGUGGGGAGGAUCUGUACCCGGGCAUCAGGUCAAGAAGCGAAAAAGGGAUGAGAUAAACGAGCAAAUCAUGGGAAAUUACUUCAACGACCCACCCUUGUAUGGCGAUGGUUUGUUUCGGCGAAGGUAACUAGUUGAUGAGUCUUUAUUUUCUUCAGUCAUGCAUGUAAUCAUUUUGCCC